UAGCGACAGAAGAAGCACCGGCUAACUCCGUGCCAGCAGCCGCGGUAAUACGGAGGGUGCGAGCGUUAAUCGGAAUUACUGGGCGUAAAGCGCAUGCAGGUGGUUUGUUAAGUCAGAUGUGAAAGCCCGGGGCUCAACCUCGGAAUAGCAUUUGAAACUGGCAGACUAGAGUACUGUAGAGGGGGGUAGAAUUUCAGGUGUAGCGGUGAAAUGCGUAGAGAUCUGAAGGAAUACCGGUGGCGAAGGCGGCCCCCUGGACAGAUACUGACACUCAGAUGCGAAAGCGUGGGGAGCAAACAGGAUUAGAUACCCUGGUAGUCCACGCCGUAAACGAUGUCUACUUGGAGGUUGUGGCCUUGAGCCGUGGCUUUCGGAGCUAACGCGUUAAGUAGACCGCCUGGGGAGUACGGUCGCAAGAUUAAAACUCAAAUGAAUUGACGGGGGCCCGCACAAGCGGUGGAGCAUGUGGUUUAAUUCGAUGCAACGCGAAGAACCUUACCUACUCUUGACAUCCAGAGAACUUUCCAGAGAUGGAUUGGUGCCUUCGGGAACUCUGAGACAGGUGC
rnacentral:rRNA from 1 species